rnacentral:rRNA from 1 species
CCAGACUCCUACGGGAGGCAGCAGUGGGGAAUAUUGGGCAAUGGGCGCAAGCCUGACCCAGCAACGCCGCGUGAAGGAAGAAGGCUUUCGGGUUGUAAACUUCUUUUCUAAGGGACGAAGAAAGUGACGGUACCUUAGGAAUAAGCUCCGGCUAACUACGUGCCAGCAGCCGCGGUAAUACGUAGGGAGCGAGCGUUAUCCGGAUUUACUGGGUGUAAAGGGCGUGUAGGCGGGAUGGCAAGUCAGGCGUGAAAACUAUGGGCUCAACCCAUAGCCUGCGUUUGAAACUGUCGUUCUUGAGUGAUGGAGAGGCAAGCGGAAUUCCGUGUGGAGCGGUGAAAUGCGUAGAUAUACGGAGGAACACCAGUGGCGAAGGCGGAUUGCUGGACAGUAACUGACGCUGAGGCGCGAAAGCGUGGGGAGCAAACAGGAUUAGAUACCCCAGUAC